CGUGGGUAACCUGCCUGUAAGACUGGGAUAACUCCGGGAAACCGGAGCUAAUACCGGAUAGUUCCUUGAACCGCAUGGUUCAAGGAUGAAAGACGGUUUCGGCUGUCACUUACAGAUGGACCCGCGGCGCAUUAGCUAGUUGGUGAGGUAACGGCUCACCAAGGCGACGAUGCGUAGCCGACCUGAGAGGGUGAUCGGCCACACUGGGACUGAGACACGGCCCAGACUCCUACGGGAGGCAGCAGUAGGGAAUCUUCCGCAAUGGACGAAAGUCUGACGGAGCAACGCCGCGUGAGUGAUGAAGGUUUUCGGAUCGUAAAGCUCUGUUGUUAGGGAAGAACAAGUGCAAGAGUAACUGCUUGCACCUUGACGGUACCUAACCAGAAAGCCACGGCUAACUACGUGCCAGCAGCCGCGGUAAUACGUAGGUGGCAAGCGUUGUCCGGAAUUAUUGGGCGUAAAGGGCUCGCAGGCGGUUUCUUAAGUCUGAUGUGAAAGCCCCCGGCUCAACCGGGGAGGGUCAUUGGAAACUGGGAAACUUGAGUGCAGAAGAGGAGAGUGGAAUUCCACGUGUAGCGGUGAAAUGCGUAGAGAUGUGGAGGAACACCAGUGGCGAAGGCGACUCUCUGGUCUGUAACUGACGCUGAGGAGCGAAAGCGUGGGGAGCGAAC
rnacentral:rRNA from 1 species